rnacentral:rRNA from 1 species
CGGAGGAUCCAAGCGUUAUCCGGAAUCAUUGGGUUUAAAGGGUCCGUAGGCGGUUUAAUAAGUCAGUGGUGAAAUCUGGUCGCUCAACGAUCAAACGGCCAUUGAUACUGUUAGACUUGAAUUACUGGGAAGUAACUAGAAUAUGUAGUGUAGCGGUGAAAUGCUUAGAUAUUACAUGGAAUACCAAUUGCGAAGGCAGGUUACUACCAGUGGAUUGACGCUGAUGGACGAAAGCGUGGGGAGCGAACAGGAUUAGAUACCCUGGUAGUCCACGCCGUAAACGAUGGAUACUAGCUGUUGGGAGCAAUCUCAGUGGCUAAGCGAAAGUGAUAAGUAUCCCACCUGGGGAGUACGUUCGCAAGAAUG